rnacentral:tRNA from 1 species
GGCCCGUUGGUCAAGCGGUUAAGACACCGCCCUUUCACGGCGGUAUCACGGGUUCGAGUCCCGUACGGGUCA